rnacentral:rRNA from 1 species
CCUACGGGAGGCAGCAGUGGGGAAUAUUGCACAAUGGGGGAAACCCUGAUGCAGCGACGCCGCGUGAGCGAUGAAGUAUUUCGGUAUGUAAAGCUCUAUCAGCAGGGAAGAAAAUGACGGUACCUGACUAAGAAGCCCCGGCUAAAUACGUGCCAGCAGCCGCGGUAAUACGUAGGGGGCAAGCGUUAUCCGGAUUUACUGGGUGUAAAGGGAGCGUAGACGGCGGUGCAAGCCAGAGGGGAAAGCCCGGGGCUCAACCCCGGGAUUGCAUUUGGAACUGUAUAGCUGGAGUGUCGGAGAGGCAGGCGGAAUUCCUAGUGUAGCGGUGAAAUGCGUAGAUAUUAGGAGGAACACCAGUGGCGAAGGCGGCCUGCUGGGCGAUGACUGACGUUGAGGCUCGAAAGCGUGGGGAGCAAACAGGAUUAGAUACCCUGGUAGUC